rnacentral:rRNA from 1 species
GCAACUCGACUGCGUGAAGGUGGAGUCGCUAGUAAUCGCGGAUCAGCAACGCCGCGGUGAAUGCGUUCCCGGGCCUUGUACACACCGCCCGUCAAGUCAUGAAAGUGGGCAGCACCCGAAGACGGUGGCCUAACCCUUGUGGGGGGAGCCGUCUAGGGGUGAGGCUCGUGAUUGGGACUAAGUCGUAACAAGGUAAC